rnacentral:rRNA from 1 species
GACGAACGCUGGCGGCGUGCUUAACACAUGCAAGUCGAACGGUAAGGCCUUUCGGGGUCCACGAGUGGCGAACGGGUGAGUAACACGUGGGUGAUCUGCCCUGCACUUCGGGAUAAGCCCGGGAAACUGGGUCUAAUACCGGAUAGGACUGCGCGGUGCAUGCCGUGUGGUGGAAAGAUUUAUCGGUGCAGGAUGGGCCCGCGGCCUAUCAGCUUGUUGGUGGGGUAAUGGCCUACCAAGGCGACGACGGGUAGCCGGCCUGAGAGGGCGACCGGCCACACUGGGACUGAGACACGGCCCAGACGCCUACGGGAGGCAGCAGUGGGGAAUAUUGCACAAUGGGCGCAAGCCUGAUGCAGCGACGCCGCGUGAGGGAUGACGGCCUUCGGGUUGUAAACCUCUUUCAGCAGGGACGAAGCGUGAGUGACGGUACCUGCAGAAGAAGCACCGGCCAACUACGUG